rnacentral:misc_RNA from 1 species
GAUGAAGAACGUAGCGAAAUGCGAUAAGUAAUGUGAAUUGCAGAAUUCAGUGAAUCAUCGAAUCUUUGAACGCACAUUGCGCCCCCUGGUAUUCCGGGGGGCAUGCCUGUUCGAGCGUCAUUUCACCACUCAAGCCUCGCUUGGUAUUGGGCAACGCGGUCCGCCGCGUGCCUCAAAUCGACCGGCUGGGUCUUCUGUCCCCUAAGCGUUGUGGAAACUUUCGCUAAAGGGUGUUCGGGAGGCUACGCCGUAAAACAACCCCAUUUCUAAGGUUGACCUCGGAUUAGGUAGGGAUACCCGCUGAACUUAAGCAUAUCAAUAAGCGGAGGA